rnacentral:rRNA from 1 species
AAGAGCNGCAAAACCGCGAGGUGGGAGCAAAUCUCGAAAAAACGUCUCAGUUCGGAUUGUAGGCUGCAACCCGCCUACAUGAAGUCGGAAUUGCUAGUAAUCGUGGAUCAGCAUGCCACGGUGAAUACGUUCCCGGGCCUUGUACACACCGCCCGUCAAACCAUGAGAGUUGGCAACACCCGAAGUCGGUAGUCUAACCGCAAGGAGGACGCCGCCGAAGGUGGGGUUGAUGAUUAGGGUUAAGUCGUAACAAGGUAUC